AUUGAACGCUGGCGGCAGGCCUAACACAUGCAAGUCGAGCGGAGUGAUGGUGCUUGCACUAUCACUUAGCGGCGGACGGGUGAGUAAUGCUUAGGAAUCUGCCUAUUAGUGGGGGACAACAUCUCGAAAGGGAUGCUAAUACCGCAUACGUCCUACGGGAGAAAGCAGGGGAUCACUUGUGACCUUGCGCUAAUAGAUGAGCCUAAGUCGGAUUAGCUAGUUGGUGGGGUAAAGGCCUACCAAGGCGACGAUCUGUAGCGGGUCUGAGAGGAUGGUCCGCCACACUGGGAGUGAGACACGGCCCAGACUCCUACGGGAGGCAGCAGUGGGGAAUAUUGGACAAUGGGGGGAGACCUGACCCAGCCAUGCCGGGUGUGUGAAGAAGGCCUUAUGGUUGUAAGGCACUUUAAGCGAGGAGGAGGCUUACCUAGUUAAUACCUGGGAUAAGUGGACGUUACUCGCAGAAUAAGCACCGGCUAACUCUGUGCCAGCAGCCGCUGUAAUAC
rnacentral:rRNA from 1 species